CUCCUACGGGAGGCAGCAGUGGGGAAUUUUGGACAAUGGGGGCAACCCUGAUCCAGCCAUGCCGCGUGCGGGAAGAAGGCCUUCGGGUUGUAAACCGCUUUUAGUCGGGAAGAAAAGGCACGGGAUAAUACUCCGUGUUCUUGACGGUACCGGCGGAAUAAGCACCGGCUAACUACGUGCCAGCAGCCGCGGUAAUACGUAGGGUGCGAGCGUUAAUCGGAAUUACUGGGCGUAAAGCGUGCGCAGGCGGUUCGUUAAGUUCGUCGUGAAAGCCCCGGGCUCAACCUGGGAACUGCGAUGGAAACUGGCGGGCUUGAGUGUGGCAGAGGGGGGUGGAAUUCCGCGUGUAGCAGUGAAAUGCGUAGAGAUGCAGAGGAACACCGAUGGCGAAGGCAGCCCCCUGGGCCAACACUGACGCUCAGGCACGAAAGCGUGGGGAGCAAACAGGAUUAGAUACCCUGGUAGUCCACGCCCUAAACGAUGCUCACUAGGUGUUGGGGAAGCGAUUCCUUGGUACCGUAGCUAACGCGUGAAGU
rnacentral:rRNA from 1 species